rnacentral:rRNA from 1 species
UACAGAGGUCCCAAGCGUUGUUCGGAUUCAUUGGGCGUAAAGGGUGCGUAGGCGGCGCGGUAAGUCGGGUGUGAAAUUUCGGAGCUUAACUCCGAAACUGCAUUCGAUACUGGCGUGCUUGAGGACUGGAGAGGAGAGUGGAAUUCAUGGUGUAGCAGUGAAAUGCGUAGAGAUCAUGAGGAAGACCAGUGGCGAAGGCGGGUCUCUGGACAGUUCCUGACGCUGAGGCACGAAGGUCAGGGGAGCAAACGGG